UACGGAGGGUGCAAGCGUUGUCCGGAUUUAUUGGGUUUAAAGGGUGCGUAGGCGGCCCGUUAAGUCAGUGGUGAAAGCCUCCAGCUCAACUGGAGAACUGCCAUUGAUACUGGCGGGCUUGAGUACAGACGAGGUUGGCGGAAUUGAUAGUGUAGCGGUGAAAUGCAUAGAUACUAUCAAGAACUCCGAUUGCGUAGGCAGCUAACUAGGCUGUAACUGACGAUGAGGCACGAAAGCGUGGGGAGCGAACAGG
rnacentral:rRNA from 1 species